rnacentral:rRNA from 1 species
GCAAGUCGGACGGUAACAUAGGAGCUUGCUCCUGAUGACGAGUGGCGGACGGGCGAGUAACGCGUAGGAAUCUGCCUAUAAGAGGGGGACAACCAUUGGAAACGAUGGCUAAUACCGCAUGUUGCCUACGGGUAAAAUAGUGGCUUCGGCUGCUGCUUAUAGAUGAGCCUGCGUUAGAUUAGCUAGAUGGUGAGGUAAAGGCUCACCAUGGCUACGAUCUAUAGCUGUUCUGAGAGGAAGAUC